rnacentral:misc_RNA from 1 species
UUAUCCCACCAUCGGUCGGCUUUUUAAGUUUCAAGGUUGUAGUGGAACUGUGUUAUCCUUUAGUCGCCUCUUACGACACUCACGGGAAAAGAGGGGCCAAUGAAUAAACAUUACUAAUUUUCAAAAGAACGACAAACUACGAUUAAACACGACUCAUUUGGUAAAAACGACUUCUUAUGUAAUUAUCUCUAUAUAUUUUUUUAUAUUAUACAUAAUUCUUAUGUUUUCUAUUAUUCCUACCACAACAGCUUAAAUGCUAAAACGUAACUACUAAGCUAAGUUCUUUCUGUUAAUGAGAUGAAGAAACUCAUUAUCUUUCACGGUACUAAAUUUUGUAUAUUUACUAUUUUCCAUGCAUAAGCAUUUUUACAGAGACGUUCAGAUUUUCUCACGGUAUUUUAAGAUGUUUUGUAAUUAAUACGCAGUGAUUUUUUCCAGGACUUGAGGCUUUAAGCCCCUCAUAUUAAUUUACUUGCAAAAAAUUAAAUUGAAGUUGUAAACAAGUGUACCACAGAUUCUCACGUGCUUAACUCGAGUGGCGUCGACAAACACGUAGCGGGCCUGAGGCAUUUGUCAACUUCACAUACAAUGCACUCCUCAUGCAUUACAAGCUUCUUUCGGUUUCGCAACAAGCUCAGGCACUAUUAUUGUAUAGCAGCAUAUACUGUGAACUAAAAGAAUGUCAGAUGUAUUUCAGACGUAUCCCGGGACUUACGAGUACUAUUCAUUUAACAUAUAAAAUAAUUUUCUUAUUUAGACAUUAUAACCUUAUACUUCCUUAUUACUUAAUUUUCUUAUUAUAUUUUAAUUGUAUUGAUAGUUAUUGAAAGCAAUAAUAAAUAGGCAUAAAGAAAUGAAAAAUAAAUAACAAGAUAACACAUAUAGCUCUGAAGAUGAACAUUAAUGAAAAUCGCUUCUGUCUAUAACAAUAGACUGUCAGAUAUAGGCCUCCGCAAUCCUCAUCCAGCCUCCGCUGACGACUUUACGUAGAUCGUCAGUCCAGUGGGACGAAGGGCGUCCCACAUCGCGUUUGCAAACACGUGAUAUCCUCUUCAGGACACGUCUGCUCUAGGGCACAGCGAUCCUACAGCACACGUGAAUAAUAUA